rnacentral:rRNA from 1 species
UACGAGGGAGCCGACGUUGUUCGGAAUUACUGGGCGUAAAGCGCACGUAGGCGGAUUGUUAAGUUCAGGGGUGAAAUCCUGGAGCUCAACUCCAGAACUGCCUUUGAUACUGGCGAUCUCGAGUCCGGGAGAGGUGAGUGGAACUGCGGAGUGUAGAGGUGAAAUUCGUAGAUAUUCGCAAGAACACCAGUGGCGAAGGCGGCUCACUGGCCCGGUACUGGACGCUGAGGUGCGAAAGCGUGGG